rnacentral:lncRNA from 1 species
AGGUGGUGGGAUAGAAAUCGAUUUAUGGUGCUAGGAUAUCUGUAGUUAAUUAUUGGGCUUUAUGAGGCUUAAUAUGUUGAAUGAAUACGUUGAAGAGGUGAAGGAGAAGCUGUACAGAUGGAAGUGGUGAUAGGAUGAGAUCGGACGACCAUAGAGGAUUGUCGUGGAAGUGGUGAUAGGAUGAGAGGACGACCAUAGAGGAUUGUCGUUUUACAGGUAUUAGGUUUUAGACAGAGAAUGGGCCAAUGUUAGGUUUAGAGGAAGGACAUGUUAACAAUUAAUUUCAAAGGCCACAAAAAGCCUGGUUCAAACAAUGAUUUUUAACGUGGCAUUGUUGCUGACAUGGCACUAUUAUUGGCUACGGAUUUUUUACCGACGUGGACGUCUUCUCUGAUCAGUAUAUUGCC